GUUUUGAGCAACAUACUCAUGUCAAUUUUGAUCACAAUCAACUUAAACUUCCCCCUCUCUCUCUCUCUCUUCCUUUCCAUUUCUAUUAUUUUAGUCAAUAGCAAGUCCUGCUAUUAAAGAAACCUUGAUUGCAGUUUGGGGACAAUAUAACAAUAUAUUUAUACUUGAUCCUAAUACACUGGAGUUCAUUUGUGCUUUGAAAUCCUCUCACAAUCCAAACUGGAUAUCACAACUUAUCGAAGCUGCAGGUGUGGAGUCUAUCAUUGGUAAGCUUCAUUGAGAGGAAGGUUCUGCUGCUCCUGAUUUCAAGUCUCAUUUCACUGGCUCUCUCUCUGACUCAUGGCAGUCCCCAGCCACUCCUUGUUCCCUUAUUGACUCAGUUGUCAGUUAUCAUAUUCCUGGGAAUUCCCAACCAUUGCAAUCAUUACAUGCUCAAUGGGACAUGGCCACAAAUUGCCAAAUUG